UGAUGUUGACUUCGCUACUAAUAAAGGA
rnacentral:piRNA from 1 species